AAUCCUUCCAGGGAUUCACUCUUCAAUCUGUAUUCAAAUCACCAUGGGUUGGCUGGAGUAUAUGUACUCAAGAGAGAUAAAAUAAAAGUUGUAGUGCACAAUCAGGUAUGUAAUAAAAAAAGAUUUCAUCACUUACAUCAAGGUUAAAAACAAUGGGUGUAGUAUCUCUGAGUCACCACCAGGGGUCCUACACAUUUCGUCCGUCUGCAGGACUUUCUCAGGGACUUUGGCAGUGUGCAAUGACAAGUUGCAACGCAUAUUGG